UUCACCAUGGCUGUGAAAAAGGAAGCUCUUUUAAGGUGUUGGAUAAUCUUGGCCUCGUGUUUAUAUACGUUAUCUUCUUCUCCAUACCAAUAGGGGUGGGCACUUCGGUUAUUUUAUCGGUUCGGUUCGAGUUCGGUUCGGUUUGGUUAGUUCGGUUCUAGAAUUUUUCCAGCUGAAGUAAACCAUAGUUAGUUUGGUUUGGAUUGAUUUCGGUUCAGUUAUGUUCGGUUCGGUUUAUAUUCGGUUCGGUUUGUAUUCGAUUCAGUUUGUAUUUCGGUUCGAUUCGGUUUAAUCAGAUAUCUCUUAGUUUAUUUAUUGUACAAGAAAUCAUGUUUUAAUACAUAAAUGUAUGAUUGUCAUGAAAUAAUUGCGUUGGUCAUAAUAAAAAAUUAAGUAUGUAAAUUAAAUUCAAUAUUAAACCAAAUAAAAAUCUUUUUAAAAGUUACAAAUAUAGUUUAUAACUUUAUAACAAUUAACAUGGAAAUUAUGUGGGCUUAAUGACAAAUAUUACAAAAGUUAGACGAAGUGUCAUGGAAAUCAAAUUAUAUUAGGAUUUCUUUCGUGCAAAAGGAAAUUACUUGGGCUAAGUCUUAGGAUUUUAAUAUCUUGAUAUCACUAAUAUUUUUAAUUUAAAUAACUAUAAAAACACUUCGGUUUAUCAGUUCGGUUCAGUUUAAACCGAACUGAACUGAACCAUUCGGGUUGGAAAAAUCUUCAACCGAAUGAUUUGAAAUGGACUUUGGUUUGGUUCAAAUCGGUUUCGGUUCAGUCGGUUCGGUUCGAUCGGUUCGGUUCGGAUUUUUUGCCUACAUACCAAGCUUUCUUUAAAACAACAACAACAAAAAAUAAUGGUUUUUUUUUCUCUUUACUACUAGACUGCUAGUUACUUGUUAGGAACAAAAACAAUAUCCAAUGACCAUUGCGCAAAGCCCAACAACUAGAAUUGCCCAAAGGGGAAAAUAUUUCUUUUCAGUAAAACUCAUAUUGGGUUUCGUUAUUGUGCCACUAUGACCGCUACGUUAACCCCAACAACUCGACGUUACAUAAUCAUGACAUUCAAAGGUAUAUUCACAAGUAUUGAAAAAAAUCGUAGAACAAAGGGUGAAUACUUCGAAGUAGCGGUUUUUUAAAAUUACUUUUUAAAAGAUUUUUUUCACAAUUUUUUCAAAAUUCACAAUUUUGUGGUUUUUUAAAGAUUUUUUUCAGUUUUAUAUUUGAUUAAAUUUACUUUUUUUAUUUUUAAAAAGCAUUAUUAAUGACUUUCUUUUUAAUUUUCUAUUUACUUUAUUAACUUUGAUUUGAUCAUGUUCCGACAAUUUUUUUGUGUGUUUUUGAGGUUUUUAUUUCAAAAUUUUGCUGGAUUUAGUUUAUAUAGUUUUUUUAAUAUUCACCAACAUGACAAUUUCAUGACCAUGUGUUUUAAUAUAUUAUUUCUUUUAAAAGAAUUAAACUAAGAGAAUCCGAUUAAACUGAACCGAAACACAAA
rnacentral:lncRNA from 1 species